rnacentral:piRNA from 1 species
GCAUUGUGUAGUGGGACCUCGGCUCACC